GAUGAACGCUAGCGGCAGGCCUAAUACAUGCAAGUCGGACGGGAUUGAGGAGCUUGCUUCUCAUGAGAGUGGCGCACGGGUGCGUAACACGUAUGUAACCUACCUUGUUCAGGGGGAUAGCCUCUCGAAAGAGAGAUUAAGACCGCAUAACGUAGUGAUGUGGCAUCAUAUUACUACCAAAUAUUUAUAGGAACAAGAUGGGCAUGCGGAACAUUAGCUAGUUGGUAAGGUAACGGCUUACCAAGGCUACGAUGUUUAGGGGAUCUGAGAGGAUUACCCCCCACACUGGUACUGAGACUCGGACCAGACUCCUACGGGAGGCAGCAGUAAGGAAUAGUGGUCGAUGGACGGAAGUCUGAACCAGCCAUGCCGCGUGCAGGAAGACGGCCCUACGGGUUGUAAACUGCUUUUAUACGGGGAUAAACCUACUUACGUGUAAGUAGCUGAAUUUACUGUAAUAAUAAGGAUCGGCUAACUCCGUGCCAGCCGCCGCGGUAAUAC
rnacentral:rRNA from 1 species